rnacentral:rRNA from 1 species
UGGGGAAUAUUGCACAAUGGGCGCAAGCCUGAUGCAGCCAUGCCGCGUGUAUGAAGAAGGCCUUCGGGUUGUAAAGUACUUUCAGUCGGGAGGAAGGUGGUAAGGUUAAUAACCUUAUCAAUUGACGUUACCGACAGAAGAAGCACCGGCUAACUCCGUGCCAGCAGCCGCGGUAAUACGGAGGGUGCAAGCGUUAAUCGGAAUUACUGGGCGUAAAGCGCACGCAGGCGGUUGAUUGAGACAGAUGUGAAAUCCCCGGGCUUAACCCGGGAAUUGCAUCUGAUACUGGUCAGCUAGAGUCUUGUAGAGGGGGGUAGGAUUCCAUGUGUAGCGGUGAAAUGCGUAGAAAUGUGGAAGAAUACCGGUGGCGAAGGCGGCCCCCUAGACAAAGACUGACGCUCAGGUGCGAAAGCGUGGGGAGCAAACAGG